CCCGAAAUCCUGGUCCAUGGACUUGAAGAAGAAUUUGUAGCUGUGCACAGGCCGGUUGCUGAGGACAUUUUUAAAAUCUGUCAGCGUGACUUUCUCCGGGGGGACGGGCAGCUUCACCAGGGACUGGACUGUCCAUCUAACAGGGUAACAUAGGCGGUUUCCACUCUGUCCUGGGAAGAACUCUGUCACUCCCGCUGGACUAUUGGUCAGCAGUUGGUGGCUCUCCAAGAGCAGAACGGACUUGGGGAGGCCUGGCGGGUAUUUAAGUCCAGCAGGAAUUCCAGCACUGUGCGUCGUUACCAUGGACUGCUAAACCCUCAGUGGUGGUGUGAGCUGUAUCUCCAGUAGAAGGCCUGAUCCUGAUAUGUAACUUCUUGGGAAGUCAAUGGGAGGUUUUGCAUAUAGACUGUAGGAUUUGGGCCUUACAGACCCAGUCUGAUGAGCCCUCCCUGUGGGGAGCUCUUCCCGAAGUCAAGAGGAGUUCCAUGCACUGGGAGUGUGCAGGAUCGGGGCCACAGUUUGUUGAGCAUUUUGGAGCACUUUGAGGAGGGAGGUGCUGCAUAGAGGUAAGCAGGACCAUGCGGCUGCUUCUCAGUCUCUUAGAGGGCGUCUUGAAGAGCAAGAAAUAAAACCAACUGCAUUUGAAAACCAAGUACAUUCUUCUUUAUUUCUUACAUGUAAGGAGAGUUACACAAUGGGCUGAUAAAUGAUGACAAUAAAGCAACAAUGAUAGUAUGGAAAUGAAGUAGAUUACAACACAGAGUCAAACCAGCUUUAUGGGCCAAACUCUCCUCUCAAUCUGGAGAGGCAGCACAGUUCAGUGGCUACUGCACACAGCUGAAAAGCAGGAGAUUUGUGUCCUAGUCCUAGCUCCGCUAUUGAUCUCUUGUGUAUCUUUGGACAAGCUGAUACAAAUCACGGUGUGCCUCAGUUUCCCCAUCUGAGACGUGAAGACAGUUCUACUUACACACCUUUGUAAAGCACUUUGAGAUCUUGGGCGGAAGGGCUCCUUGGUAUUAAUUGUUAUUAUAGGGUUGCACAGCUGUCACAGAGAAAAAAAUAGCCCCAUAUAUAAUUUAGGAGGCAUUUUCUAUUGCACAUAUUACACAUAUUACAUAUUUUAUUAACAGAUUUUCUGGCUGAUGUACCCCCGUCUAACUUCAAAUAAUUAAAACUGGGAGGGCUGCAUAUUAGAAAUAAAAAAAUAAAUGUUCCAAAUGCACCUCAGAAAAAGCCAAAUGCAGCACCAGGCCCCCUGCAGAGGAUUCAUAGAUGAUCGUAACAGAGGGGACUGUUACGAUCAUCCAAUCUGGUCUCCUGUGUAACACAAGCUAGAGAACCUCAUCCACUAAUUUCUGCAUCAAGCCCAGAAUUUCUGGCUGAGCUGGAGCGUAAUCUUUCAGCAAGCAUCCCCUUUUGAUUUAAAGACUUCAGGUGACAGAGACUCCACCACGUCUCUCGGUAAGGUGUUCCUACGGUUAAUCACCCAGCGUAGCCCUCAAACCAGAAGCAUGGUUUGUCACUGCUAACACCUUCUGGGUUUUACAUUAAAAACCUAAAGACACUUCUCUACGUUGCAAUGACUACUAUUUGAUCAGGGAGUUUGUUAAAAUAAAAAAUCCUAAAUGGUAUAAAAUAAUCAAAUACAAAAAAACUUUACAGCUUUUCCUGUGCUCGCCAUGAGUUUUCUUUCCACGUGCAAAAUCUCUUGUAGCAUUUCAUUUCUUUGCGGGGGAAAUCAUCAGACAAACCAAAAUGAUUCUUUUUUCCAUGAACAAACUGUUGUGGGUCAGAUCAUUAGCUGAUGUAAACUGGUGUAGCCACCAGAGCUUACUGAUUUACACCAGCUGAGAAACUGGCUCUGCCUUUGCUUCAAGUUCCAGUGUCACCUGGGAAGCAGCACUUGGCCUCUGCCCAUUUGAAUUUUAACACACGCCCAACCACUCAGAUAUUGGGGGAAGAAACACUUUUUGCUUCACUCUGUGGGAAGACAAUCCUCAAGCCAUUCGGGUGCAUCCUACCUGCUGCAUGCAACCCGGGCAAGCCCCACAUAAAGCCUGGGUUAUAGCAUCACACCUGCCAGGCAGGUUCUCAUCUAAAUGGAGCUCCACUGUAAUUAGCAAGUUUCUAAUUUCCAAAAUAUAUAUCUAUAUACCCAUUCCCAGCUGUGUACUUUCUGGCAAAAUAUCUAAGCUGCAGACUAACAUAAUCCCUGUUGUUUUGGCACCUGUAUAUGGAUUGCGCAGCUGCAUCAAAUUACACCAUCUCACAAGCAUCUAGUCAAGUUCAGCUCACUAAGGCUUCAAUUAAGAUCUCACCAGCUCAUGCCGAGGAUAGUUUUAUGCCCAGACACUCUGAAUCACAAGAGCUGUUCUUUUUUUUAUCUUUUCCAAAUCACCACGUCCACCUCGGUGCCUUAGUUCUUUAUCUGUACCCACUUUCCUGCCUCCAGAAGGGACUCCUACUGUUUAUGUCCAAUUAAGAUCAUGACAAUGUCGUCUUCAUUAAACUAAUCCUAGGAUUUCUCUCUGUCUUUCUCUCUGGUGCCAAAUUACU